UGGGGAAUAUUGCACAAUGGGCGAAAGCCUGAUGCAGCAACGCCGCGUGAACGAUGAAGGUCUUCGGAUCGUAAAGUUCUGUUGCAGGGGAAGAUAAUGACGGUACCCUGUGAGGAAGCCCCGACUAACUACGUGCCAGCAGCCGCGGUAAUACGUAGGGGGCUAGCGUUAUCCGGAUUUACUGGGCGUAAAGGGUGCGUAGGUGGUCCUUCAAGUCGGUGGUUAAAGGCUACGGCUCAACCGUAGUAAGCCGCCGAAACUGGAGGACUUGAGUGCAGGAGAGGAAAGUGGAAUUCCCAGUGUAGCGGUGAAAUGCGUAGAUAUUGGGAGGAACACCAGUAGCGAAGGCGGCUUUCUGGACUGCAACUGACACUGAGGCACGAAAGCGUGGGUAGCAAACAGGAUUAGAUACCCUGGUAGUCCACGCUGUAAACGAUGAGUACUAGGUGUCGGGGGUUACCCCCCUCGGUGCCGCAGCUAACGCAUUAAGUACUCCGCCUGGGGAGUACGCACGCAAGUGUG
rnacentral:rRNA from 1 species